rnacentral:rRNA from 1 species
GUAACGCGUGAGUAACCUGCCUUCAANAGGGGGAUAACAUUCUGAAAAGAAUGCUAAUACCGCAUGACAUAUCGGAACCACAUGGUUUUGAUAUCAAAGAUUUUAUCGCUUGAAGAUGGACUCGCGUCCGAUUAGUUAGUUGGUGAGGUAACGGCUCACCAAGACCGCGAUCGGUAGCCGGACUGAGAGGUUGAACGGCCACAUUGGGACUGAGACACGGCCCAGACUCCUACGGGAGGCAGCAUG